rnacentral:lncRNA from 1 species
CAGGGGGCGGUGUGCGCCCCCGGCGCUGGAGCAGCCGCGUUUCGGGGACCCGGGCAGGCGUGGGGGGCUGCGCUGAGCUCCAGGCCUCCUGCAGCCUGGAGUGCAGUAGUGUAAUCUCGGCUCACUGCAGCCUCAAACUUCUGGGCUCGAGCGAUCCUCUCACCUCAGCCUCCUGAGUAGCUGGGACUACAGGUUUCUCCUUCUCGUCUUCCAAAGCUGUGCCUUAACUUCCUCGAAAGACAACAUCAGUGCUGGCGGGCCUCAAGAAGAGCCAUCCCAAGGUAUUGACUAGGCAUCAGCGUCUUCACCAGGGCAACACAGAACAUCCCUGCAGAGUUCCUGGUGGCUGCAGUGGCUGGUAGGGGAUGUAUGCCUGCUUUCCAUCAGAUUCCCAAAGCGGAGCCCCUGGAGGCUUUGGCCCAUGGCCCUGAAGCUCCCUUUCACAAGGAAGAAAGACUUUGCAAAGCCAACACCACUAUUGGAGAGAAAGUGGAGAAUGUGUAUUAGAAGUACUAGUCUUUGAAGGCAAAACAGCUGUAUAGAGUGAGCUUAAGUGCUGGAUCCCUGUGGUUAGGAAGGGACACUAAGCCUCCGGGAUGUGAGAGUCCCAUGGAAGGCAGUAGGCCCAGGAUAAAGCAGGUGUCAGCUCAGAAAGCCCACCAUCACCCAGAAAAGGGAAGAAAUACGCUACCACCAUCACUCUUUCUGCCAAUGACUUCUUUGCACACCUCCACCCUAUCUCCUGGCUCAGUCUCCCAUGUUCUCAUAGCUAGGGAGGUCUCCAUUGUAAUUUGUAUGGGGAGGUUAACCUAUAGGCCAUUCUGAUGAUCCCAGCUCCCUUUCACUACAACCCCCGUCUGCAUCCUUUGCUUUGCAGUAGGAUUUGAGAGAGGAAGGAUGAAGAUGUAGCCACAGGAUACAUUUAAACAGGCACAGAGUUUGAGGGGUGGGGGGGAACAAAAGCAAAACAAUAAAACCUUCACCAGUCAUUAAAGAAAUGAAAAUGAACCUUUUGAGAUUGUCAAUUUUUAUCUGCUAAGUCAAGAAAAGCUAAUUUAAUUCCUGGCAAUUUCACAAUAAAAAAAAUUGUGCUAGCUCUUGGUGGCAUUGUAAGUAGUUAAAGGCUUUUUGGGAAGUAAUUUGAAAUACAUCAAGUCUUGAAAAUGAUUAUACCAGUGGAUCCAAUCAUCUCGCUGGUGGAAAUUCAUCUGAAGGAAAUGAUUCAGUGGAAAAAACAACCCGUCUACACUUGUUGCACCUAAAUGUCCAGGAAUAAGGGAAUGACAGAAGAAAUCUCAGCACAUUCUCUGAAUGGAACAGAAACCGAGCGUUUGGAACUAGAAUUGCGCAGACUGAAUUGAAUAUGGAAGUGGCUUUAAAUGGCAUGUUAGGUGGAAACACUGGAUGUCUGGUUGAAAUUUGGUAAGACACACAUUCCCAUGGUCAGAAUCGGAAAAUUUCAACAAAUGAAAAUCAUGGGGUUCACAAAGAGGUGUUGUGGGUUAUAGAAAGCUAUUUUCAAAAAUUUCUUUAAUGAUUCAAAAUUGUUUUUCAAAAAAAGUAGAAGAUUUAGAAACAUGUAUUUUAGGAAGUAUGGCCCAUGGUGUCUAUUGGAAAAAAAGUGGAAGACCUGAUGCAUUGCCCAAGGGGAACUUCUAGCUUAAGAUUACACUGAUGAGGACUGGGAAACA